rnacentral:rRNA from 1 species
AUACCGCAUACGCCCUACGGGGGAAAGCAGGGGAUCUUCGGACCUUGCGCUAAUAGAUGAGCCUAAGUCAGAUUAGCUAGUUGGUGGGGUAAAGGCCUACCAAGGCGACGAUCUGUAGCGGGUCUGAGAGGAUGAUCCGCCACACUGGGACUGAGACACGGCCCAGACUCCUACGGGAGGCAGCAGUGGGGAAUAUUGGACAAUGGGCGCAAGCCUGAUCCAGCCAUGCCGCGUGUGUGAAGAAGGCCUUUUGGUUGUAAAGCACUUUAAGCGAGGAGGAGGCUACUUGGAUUAAUACUCUAGGAUAGUGGACGUUACUCGCAGAAUAAGCACCGGCUAACUCUGUGCCAGCAGCCGCGGUAAUACAGAGGGUGCGAGCGUUAAUCGGAUUUACUGGGCGUAAAGCGUGCGUAGGCGGCUUCUUAAGUCGGAUGUGAAAUCCCUGAGCUUAACUUAGGAAUUGCAUUCGAUACUGGGAAGCUAGAGUAUGGGAGAGGAUGGUAGAAUUCCAGGUGUAGCGGUGAAAUGCGUAGAGAUCUGGAGGAAUACCGAUGGCGAAGGCAGCCAUCUGGCCUAAUACUGACGCUGAGGUACGAAAGCAUGGGGAGCAAACAGGAUUAGAUACCCUGGUAGUCCAUGCCGUAAACGAUGUCUACUAGCCGUUGGGGCCUUUGAGGCUUUAGUGGCGCAGCUAACGCGAUAAGUAGACCGCCUGGGGAGUACGGUCGCAAGACUAAAACUCAAAUGAAUUGACGGGGGCCCGCACAAGCGGUGGAGCAUGUGGUUUAAUUCGAUGCAACGCGAAGAACCUUACCUGGUCUUGACAUAGUAAGAACUUUCCAGAGAUGGAUUGGUGCCUUCGGGAACUUACAUACAGGUGCUGCAUGGCUGUCGUCAGCUCGUGUCGUGAGAUGUUGGGUUAAGUCCCGCAACGAGCGCAACCCUUUUCCUUAUUUGCCAGCGGGUUAAGCCGGGAACUUUAAGGAUACUGCCAGUGACAAACUGGAGGAAGGCGGGGACGACGUCAAGUCAUCAUGGCCCUUACGACCAGGGCUACACACGUGCUACAAUGGUCGGUACAAAGGGUUGCUACCUAGCGAUAGGAUGCUAAUCUCAAAAAGCCGAUCGUAGUCCGGAUUGGAGUCUGCAACUCGACUCCAUGAAGUC